GAUGAACGCUGGCGGCGUGCUUAACACAUGCAAGUCGAACGAGAAGUGAAGACGGAAACCUUCGGGCGGAAGGCUUUAUUUCGAGUGGCGGACGGGUGAGUAACGCGUGGGUAACCUGCCUCAUACAGGGGGAUAACAGUUGGAAACGACUGUUAAUACCGCAUAAGACCACAGCACCGCAUGGUGCGGGAGUAAAAACUCCGGUGGUAUGAGAUGGACCCGCGUUCGAUUAGCCAGUUGGCGGGGUAACGGCCCACCAAAGCGACGAUCGAUAGCCGAUCUGAGAGGAUGACCGGCCACAUUGGGACUGAGACACGGCCCAAACUCCUACGGGAGGCAGCAGUGGGGAAUAUUGCACAAUGGGGGAAACCCUGAUGCAGCGACGCCGCGUGAGUGAAGAAGUAUUUCGGUAUGUAAAGCUCUAUCAGCAGGGAAGAAAAUGACGGUACCUGAGUAAGAAGCCCCGGCUAACUACGUG
rnacentral:rRNA from 1 species